CUCGUGUUGUGAAAUGUUGGGUUAAGUCCCGUAACGAGCGCAACCCUUGUCCUAGUUGCCAGCGAGUCAAGUCGGGAACUCUAAGGAGACUGCCGGUGACAAACCGGAGGAAGUGGGACGACGUCAAGUCAUCACGGCCCUUACGACCUGGGCUACACACGUGCUACAAUGGCGAGUACAGAGGGUUGCGAAGCGGCGACGUGGAGCGAAUCCUUAAACUUGUCGUAGUCCGGAUUGGAGUCUGCAACUCGACUCCAUGAAGUCGGAAUCGCUAGUAAUCGCGAACCAGCAUGUCGCGGUGAAUACGUUCCCGGGCCUU
rnacentral:rRNA from 1 species